UACAGAGAGUGCAAACGUUGUUCGGAAUUACUGGGCUUAAAGCGCACGUAGGCGGCGUCGUAAGUGUCAGGUGAAAUCCCACGGCUCACCCGUGGAACUGCCCGGCAUACUGCGACGCUCGAGUGUGGUAGGGAAGAGCGGAACUCCUGGUGGAGCGGUGAAAUGCGUAGAUAUCAGGAGGAACACCGGUGGCGAAGGCGGCUCUUUGGUCCACAACUGACGCUGAGGUGCGAAAGCCAGGGGAGCAAACGGG
rnacentral:rRNA from 1 species